rnacentral:rRNA from 1 species
CACGUACUGUGCGAACGUUAUUCGGAAUCACUGGGCUUAAAGGGUGCGUAGGCGGCCUUGUUAGUCAGGUGUGAAAUCCCACGGCUCAACCGUGGAACAGCGCUUGAAACUGCAGGGCUUGAGUGAGACAGGGGUGUGUGGAACUUCUAGUGGAGCGGUGAAAUGUGUUGAUAUUAGAAGGAACACCGGUGGCGAAAGCGACACACUGGGUCUUAACUGACGCUGAGGCACGAAAGCUAGGGUAGCGAAC